CGCACCAACCUUCUGAUGGCAGCAAAACAACGAGUGAGGGGAAUACUGAGUUGUGUCAAGUCGACUACAGCAUAAUAAUAAUCCGUUUGCUGAAUACAUGAAGAUCGACUCUCCAGUCGAAAGUAUUUGUAAACAUACAUGAUUAGCGCUUCGACUUGGCAAUCGCCCAUCAUAAAACAGGACCCCAAGCUGUCGGACGCACCGUUGAGUAUACCCGCUUAUUCACAUGUAGAUUCGAUAAAAACACAUUUACUAACAUAAAUCCCAACAUAAUAACACCACAUAUACUCACUCCAAAAGUCUACUGCUGUUGUAGCAAUGUGUGGAUUCGUUUACUUUGGUUAUCAGACGAAAUAUUGAUGUGUGCCUGUGUCACCCAGUGGCAGUGAGGCGAACAACUACAAUUUGAACUUCCGGCCCGUGGAAAUUGACGUCACGACCAAUGGAGUUUAUGAUAUGUAUGGCCCCCUCUUGUGGACGGACAUACACGUUUCAGUUUCAAGUUUUACUUGUCACAAAUACAGUGAAAUGUUUAACUUGCAAGCCCUAACCAACAGUGCAGGAUUCAAUAUAAAAUAGUAUAACUAAUACAAAAUGUAGAACACAAGAAAUAAGAGAGGAAGCUAUAUACAGGGUCAGUGCCAGUACCAAAUGUACAAUGUGAAGGGAUACUGGAGUAUUUGAGGUAGAUAUGUACAUGUACUGUAGGCAAGUGUUGCGAGAUAACUCAAUCCGUUGGAAUACUGUGAGACAAGCAUUUAUAUAAAAGACCACUCCGUAAGCCACGCCCCAGUGGGCAGAGCUAGGCAUGUUGCACUUAGACACGUUUUAAUACAAAAAGCCUCUACUUUUACAAUGCGUCUUCCACAUGGCAGGAUUAGAUACAGAUGGGUAAACAGAUAAGAUUUACUAAGGUCCCAGCCCAUAUUGGGGUGGAGGGGAACAAGGCAGGCAGUUGAUGUACUGGCUAAACAAGCACAUAGAAGUGGGGAUGUUGAUGUCGUAGUUUCAAUGGGCAAGACAGAGGCAAAAAGCCUGAUAUGGACAGUAAUGGUGCAGAGAUGGCAGUAGCAGUGGAAUAGAGAUACUAAGGGCAGGCAUUUAUUUCUAGUAAAGAGGAAAGUCGGGGAGGGGAGGACAGCAGGAAGGGACAGAAGAGAGGAGGCUAUUUUUACAAGAAUAAGGGUGGGAUACAGCCAGUUGAAUAAGACCUUACAUGUGAUAGGAAAUCAUCCAACAGGAAAGUGUGAGUAUUGCCAGGAAACAGAGACUGUGGAGCAUGUAUUGCUACAGUGUGGGCUGUAUCAGAGGGAAAGACUGAGAUCUAAUAUGAAGGAGAAGGGGAUACAGGAAAGUAGUUUAAAGAGUAUUUUGAGUAGAACGUCAUUGGAUAUAGUCUCAAAUAUUUUGUUAUCUUUUUUAAGAGUAACGGGAGCUGGCAGGUAGGAUUUCGUUUCUCGCCGUCUCUGGCCCGCACUCCAGUACAGUAGGUGGCGGUAAUGCACCAUAACGUUGGAUGCCAACGCUGAUAAACCCCACUGAAGAAGAAUGGCUCUUCAGGGCAGAAGAGUCGAGUUGUGUAAGUUGUUCGCAUGAGGUUCCUUGAUUGGUGAAGUGUGUAGAGUUUAUCCAUAGUUUGGGGAAUGGAAAAUGGCAGAGUAGUGUGGAUGAAAUUGAGGAAAAGUUGGUGAAGCAACAGCUGUGCUUGAAUGCGAACAAAGUGUCAGUUCUGAUGACAUGGAGCGGGAGGAUGAGGGUCAAGGACUGGAAUGGCCGGUAGUGGAAAGACAUAGGAAGAAGAGGGAUCAUGGUACAGAAAGCAGUGGAGCGUCUAGUAAAGAAAGCAUAAAGAGGACCAAGGUAAGAAGCAAUAGUAGGGAUGUGUUGGAGUGGAAAAUGGUGAUAGUGUUUGAUGAGACCAAAGGGUCUCACUUACACACUAUCAGACUUACUAAUGCCAUAGAGAAUAUGUAUUGCUCUAUUGUGGUGUUGCCCAGCCAGUCUCCCCAGGUUAACAGCACCAUGGCAUGACUCCAAACCUUUUCUCCCAGGUACGUCAGGUAGGUACCUGUCUUAUUCACCAUUCAGUGAAUGAGGAGAAUACAGGAAUCACAAUGAGAAGCAUAUGGGGUCCAGGGCAGCAUAGGGCCACACUCCGCACUGAGUCCUCAGAAUCAAAUUCAGUGGUGAACUCACACUUCCAGCCAGCCGUAUCAACUAAGACCACCUGUCUACCAGCCACUUCACCCUGUCGUCUCACACUGUGCGCCAGUCUUUCAGUAUCAAACACCUUGCCCAGGAUGGUGUUCCCUGCCAUGCUCCUCCCAACACAGUUCGCACCCAGAAGCACAGCCCUCACCUCCACAUCAUGUUUACCUCCUCCUAUAAGGCAGACAAAAAGAUGGACAGACAAAGGGGAGAGAUGACAAUAUUUGUUUAUAGAGCAUUGAAUUUCACUAAUUGAUUAACACCCACCCCCCACAGAAAACAUUCAUCCCAUAGAUUCCAAACCUAUUCCCAAUAUACACUCACCACCCACAGUUGCUCUGUUCUUCUUCAUCUUCAUUAGCCUCAGCAUCCCUCAGUUCUUCACAUCCUAUCUCUUCUGCAGCAACUUUACAAUCAUAUCAUUGUGAAUUUGAUAACAACCACUCUGUGUUACCAUCCUCUCUAUAUUUUGCAACAGUCAGUGACCUGAGUCACAUUCUCCCUGUUUCUGUUGUCUAUGAUAUGCUACCUGUUCUCACAGUUUUCUACAAGCCUUUGAAGGAUGCCUUCCUCACUUGAAAUGUGCUGCUCUAAUGUCGUGUCCACAAGCCAAUUCCCUCUGGUAAAGAGCACCAUGGUGUGUCUCCAUACCCUCUGCUCAAGGAGCUGGUUCAGGUGUUCCUCCACUGUGUCUGUGUGCAGUAUGUGCAAGGAAAGCACAAGGAGGAAGGCAUGUGGGACACAGCAAGAGCAAUUUCCUGCUUGUCCUGUGCUGAGGUCACCGCCAACAAGUUAUUCCACCACCAGCCAGGUGUGUCUACCACAGUGGCCUGUCUGCCAGCAACAGCUGUCUGUCAGCUUACACACUGGGCAGUCCUCUUCGUUGUGUCAAACUCCUCCGCACCCAGGAUUGUGUUUCCUGCCAAGUUUUUGCCAGAAUGCCCUUCCCCAACAGCACAAGUUGAAGGUCUGCCUGUGUGAUGGGGGAGAGAGAAAUAAAGAAGCACAAAGUAAAUGACUGCCCUGGGGGAGUUCAGAUGAACACCCAGGUCUUCUGGACCUGCUCUAUCGAGAAGCACCUGACUGCGGUCUUCAAAACUCUUAUGCAUGCUGGAGCAUAAAAAGCUGUUGAAUUCUAGUUUUUCUUUACUUACACAUACACUGUGUUGACAGAAACAUUGCUCAGAUCUUGUCCCCUGGACCUUGGAGGACUUUUGGUGUGGAUGAUGAUCAGGAGAAAUUCCUGUAACUCCCCAAGCAGCUGAUUGGUCGACCCCAGGCUAAUUG